rnacentral:rRNA from 1 species
GACGAACGCUGGCGGCAGGCCUAACACAUGCAAGUCGAGCGGCAGCGCGUCCGACCACCCUCGGGUGGUCGGAUGGCGGCGAGCGGCGGACGGGUGAGGAAUGCAUCGGAAUCUGCCUCGUUGUGGGGGAUAACGUAGGGAAACUUACGCUAAUACCGCAUACGACCUACGGGGGAAAGUCGGGGACCGCAAGGCCUGACGCGAUUGGAUGAGCCCAUGUUCGAUUAGCUGGUUGGCGGGGUAAAGGCCCACCAAGGCGACGAUCGAUAGCUGGUCUGAGAGGAUGAUCAGCCACACUGGAACUGAGACACGGUCCAGACUCCUACGGGAGGCAGCAGUAGGGAAUAUUGGACAAUGGGGGCAACCCUGAUCCAGCCAUGCCGCGUGAGUGAAGAAGGCCCUCGGGUUGUAAAGCUCUUUUGUCCGGAAAGAAAAGCAUCUGGUUAAUACCCGGGUGUUCUGACGGUACCGGAAGAAUAAGCACCGGCUAACUUCGUGCCAGCAGCCGA